GUGGGGAAUAUUGCACAAUGGGCGCAAGCCUGAUGCAGCAACGCCGCGUGAGGGACGACGGCCUUCGGGUUGUAAACCUCUUUUAGUAGGGAAGAAGCGAAAGUGACGGUACCUGCAGAAAAAGCACCGGCUAACUACGUGCCAGCAGCCGCGGUAAUACGUAGGGUGCAAGCGUUAUCCGGAAUUAUUGGUCGUAAAGAGCUCGUAGGCGGUCUGUCGCGUCUGCUGUGAAAACUGGAGGCUCAACCUCCAGCCUGCAGUGGGUACGGGCAGACUAGAGGGCGGUAGGGGAGAGUGGAAUUCCUGGUGUAGCGGUGGAAUGCGCAGAUAUCAGGAGGAACACCGAUGGCGAAGGCAGAUCUCUGGGCCGUAACUGACGCUGAGGAGCGAAAGCGUGGGGAGCGAACAGGAUUAGAUACCCUUGUAGUCC
rnacentral:rRNA from 1 species